rnacentral:rRNA from 1 species
ACAAUCGAGGACUUAUGUCUUGUAUUGGUUGAUGGGAAUUUAAACCUCUUCCAGAGUAUCAAUUGGAGGGCAAGUCUGGUGCCAGCAGCCGCGGUAAUUCCAGCUCCAAUAGCGUAUAUCAAAAUUGUUGCAGUUAAAAAGCUCGUAGUUGAAUUUCUGCUGCAUUGCAUCUUCUUUUUGAUGAGUUGGUGUAUUGUGGCUUAUUUCGGAUGAUACUUGUAUUAUCCGGAUGAUUACUUUGAGAAAAUUAGAGUGCUCAAAGCAGGCUUUUGCCUUGAAUAGUUUAGCAUGGAAUAAUAAAGUAGGACUUUGGUUCUAUUUUGUUGGUUUUAGGUACCAAAGUAAUGGUUAAUAGGGGCAGUUGGGACCG